rfam:Syntrophomonas zehnderi OL-4 genome assembly, contig: OL-4DRAFT_scaffold-18
GAAAACCGAAAAUACAAACUGCAGAUAGCCGGUGGCGAAAGCCUUAAAAAACGUGAGUUUGCCCGCCGAGGUUUAUGUAAUACAGCUUAUGUCAUUUAAUGACGAAAGGUUAAAUUAACCUCUGCAAGACUAUGUGCAGAGGUUUUUUACAUCUUAA